CACCACACACCUCUUCUUUCCCAGCUCACCGUUCCCUUCACCACCAACUCCCAUUUUCUCUCAAAAUCCAAAACUGAACGCUAUUUUCGACUGAGCCCUCGGAACCCAGCUCAUAUUGACACCUUUGCCUCUUUGCCUCUUUGCCUUCGACCAGAUGCUCAUAGCCCUACCAGCGAGAUGAUCUCCUCCGGCGAGUGGCAUCAGCAACCAUCUUUUCCAUCGUAGCAGCUCCACAGUGUAGUUCCGUGAUUCGUCGGCUUCUUCCACCCAUCGAGAUAGAUCAAAGAAUUUGGAUAUUCAUUCAUUUUGUUAUUAGUUGUUACUGUUCAAUUUUAGUUCUACUUUUUCACGAUUAAGUGCAAAAUCCUUCUUUUCUGGUCCUAAAUGUUACUGUUCAAUUUGGGUAUCCAAUGUCAAUAGCCAAGGUCUUGAUAUCUUGUUGUUGGAAUUGGGAAGCCCUAGGGAACCACGUGUUGGGGUUGCCGUUUCAAGGGUAUUGAUGAAUUUGUGUUUAUUCAUUUUGAAUGAGCAGGUGGUUUGAUUUACUGCACUGUUUAAACAACCUUGCUGUGUUUUUUGUCAUUUGUACUCUCCCUUGCCUUUGUGAUAUUGAUUUGUUAUAUUUAGAAGCAAGGUUGAGUGGCUGCUAAGAGUUUGCUCUAUACCAAUACAGUAAAUGAUAACAUUAGUAAAAACAGUGGUGAUAAUUAUAGAUUAAUUAACUUUUUUAAAAGAGUAUGAAAAUUGCACCCAGCAGGCUGCUGUGGUGCAAAUUUGCACCAGCAGCCUGCUGUGGUGCAAAUUUGCCCCAGCAGCCAGCUGCUGUGAUGCAAAUUUGCAUCAGCAGCCAGCUGCUGUUGUGCAAGAUUGCACCCAGCGGCCGGCUGUGGUGCAAAAUUGCACCAGCAGCCAGCUGCCGUGGUGCAAUAAUGCACCUCUGCACCACAGCAGGCUGCUGUGUUUUGGCUUAAACUGAGUUUUGUUUCUUUAAUACUAUGGUUUUCUGAAGUUAUCUAGCCAAUAAAAUGUGCUAAUAUAGUUAUAACCACACACGCACAAACACGAGUUAGGAUCACACUAGGGUCUUGCCAUACAUGUGAAAGCAUAUGUUUUUUACUAUUGCUUAAUACAAUGAAAAUUUGUGUUGGUUUUGGUUUGAAUUUGAGAUAAUUUAUGGCCUGUGGGAGUUAAAUUUGAAAUCAAAAUUUUAAAUCUGACUUAGUUGCCAAAAUAAAAGGGUUUGGUCAAAUUUGAGAAAUGCUCUCUGAUUUUAGGCCUUCUAAAUAAAAAAAUGAAUAUAUUUUUGUUCAUAUCUUUGAAUAAUAACUUGCUUAAACGUGUAAAUAACUUGUGUUGCAAUUUUAUGUGUGGGAUACGUUUUGGCAUUGACAUGCAUUUUGUCUUGCUAAAGUCAGCCGCAUAUAAGGGUUAGGGUUAGGCUUCUGAUAGCUAAAUCAUUGCCUUCACUUUUUUCAAUUGGCAUUAUUGAUUAUUAUUUUUCCCUAAUGUCUCUUGUUUGUUCAGCCUUUAUAAGUUUGUUUCACUUGAUUGUAGUAAAUUAUUUUCCUUUGAUUGUCAUGUAUUAUGCUUAAUUCUGAUGCUACUAGCUGGUUUUGUUGCUGAAUACCUACAUCGCAUGUAAACUGCAAUUAAAUAGCUUUGCAAGUUCAUAUUUUAGUCAUGUUAGUGAUACCUUAUCAAAACCUUCAAUUUCUUGGUGUUUGGCAUAGGAUUAUCUAGAGAAUGUAAAGUAUAUGUUACAUCCUUGGCGCCUACCUUAAGCUUUCUAUUUCUAAUUUUCUGCUAUAGAUGAGCUAUUUUAUAAUUAUGUUUUCAACAAUUCUUGGAUUCCAACACUUUAUUCUUGUUUAUUCUCAAGAUUUAUGGACAUUUUUCUGAAAAUCCUGUUAUCAUAGUGCAACUAACAAAAAUUAUAAUUACUAUAUAUCUCACUGGGAAACCAUGGAUUUGGAUAAGUAUAUUUUUGACAUGUUGAAGGCAUCCAUCUGAGUGGAGUGAAAUAUGAAACUUUAGAAAUAAGAUAUAUCAUAUUUCAUAUGAAAAUGAUAUAUAACACAUAAAUAAGACAAUAUUAUACUAGUACUUGAGUUGCUUAAAUGAGCGAGUAUCAGAUCACAAAAUGCACCACAGCAGGCUGCUGUGCUGCAGAUUUCACCUAGCAGCCUGCUAUGGUGACAAAAUGCACCACAGCAGGCUGCUGUGGUGUAGAUUUGCACCACAGUAGGCUUACUGUGGUGCAUGAUUGUCACCACAGCAGGCUGCUGUGGUGUAGAUUUGCACCACAGUAGGCUUACUGUGGUGCUGAUUGUCACCACAGCAGGCUGCUGUGUUGCAGAUUUCACCCAGCAGCCUGCUGUGGCGACAAAAUGCACCACAGCAGCCUACUGUGGUGCAUGAUCUGCUGUGGUGACAAAAUGCACCACAGCAGGCUGCUGUGGUUUAGAUUUUACCCAGCAGGCUGCUGUGGUGAUAAAACGCACCAUAGCAGCCUUGUUUAGUGAUUUGCCUUGUCCCUUAAGCUCCUUGUCUCCACAAUGGUGAACUGGGUAAGAGAUUACAAGCUGAGGGAAAAUACUUGUAGUUUAACGAAAAUGACUAAGAUACUUGUGUGGAUUGUUUGCAAGAUACCUGAUAAUCCCUACAUCAUGCUCAACAUGGACGCUUCAGUCUCAUCUCCUAGGGGUCUUGCUUAUGGUGGUGGCAUUUUCAGAGAUGACAAAGGUGUUUGGAUCAAAGGAUUUUCAUUUUACUUUGGUAAAAACCCCUAUGUUGGGAGCUGAUCUAUGGGCUAUCUUGAAAGAUCUAAUGCAGGUGCUAGUGCACCUGGAAGUAGGUGCCUGCAGGCGCAAAAUGCACCUACUUCAGUGGUGUGCUGCUGCUGAUGCAUAUGCAACAGCAGAUGUGAAUCUGCUGCUGCUGAAGCAGGUGCAGGUGCACCUGCUGUUGCUGAAGCUGGUGCAACAGCAAGAUUUUCAGGAGAAUAAGUGUUAGAGUAUAUACUAAAUUAAUAUUCGACAUCCAACAUUUACAUGAAUUUCUUUAUAGAGUAAUUCCGAAGGAAUAAAUUAAGAAUUAGUCAAGUACAACUGUACAAGUGAGAUGGCUCAAUAUACAUAUAAGAUAAANNNNNNNNNNNNNNNNNNNNNNNNNNNNAAAAAAGCACUAAAUGAACACAAAAGUAUUUAAAGACAAUCAAGGGUUUCUUAAGUGCUUGGUCAAUAAGGAAAACGGAUACAUAUAGCAAAAGGAUUAAAUAAACUCCAUAAAGAGUAAGGAGUACAUAUCUGUUUUUCUGUUUUCUGAAUUUGUGGUUGUUUAUUUUCUUCCCUUUUCAUGAUGAGUUUUCCAUUUCAUUAGUAUUUGACUUUUGAUGUUACUUUUCUUUCUUCUCUCACCCUUUUUGGUGCUAUUGGUAGAUAAUUAGGUUAUUAUUAUUAUUACUAUUAUUUGCAUUUGGAUUCUAGAAUUGUUUGUUGCCUUUUCUCCUUGUAAUGUUUGCUUUAUAAUUUAUAGGCAUAGGCCAGAGUUUGAAAGUGUUUGGGACAAAGAUGUUCUUCCUCAUAUGGCGGUUGUAAUGUCACCUUCGCAAAUGGUGAAGUUAUUGUAGUGUUUGAAGUUUUGUUUUGUGAGAUUGAUUUAUUUGUUCGAUAUUUUAGAAUUGUCAGAUUUUUUUCUUAAUAUUCAUAUAUGAAAUUGAUUGUAGAUGGA
rnacentral:lncRNA from 1 species